GUCUCCUUUGUGGUCAAACUGACUGAUGGGCGAGUCAUGCGCAGACACCAGGACCAUCUCCGCCUGCGCUAUGACAAAGACAAGACCAUGUUUUCAGACGGAACAGCUGUGGGUGGUAGUAUACAAGUUGAAAUCCCACAGGAAACAGCAUCUGAGGAACAGGGGCAUUCAGUGGUUCCAGCAGAGGGUGAUGGACAUUCUCUCACAAACACCCAACCCGCUCCUGUGCCCUCAGACCGAGCUCCACUGGGACACGCCUUACCUGUGUCUCGUAGCACACCAGGAGUACUGCGCAGAUCACAACGUAGUCACAAGCCUCCUGUAAGACUAACUCUGUAGUUGAGACUGAGCGACUCAUGGUGUUAGUGUUUGUUUGGAGCAGCAGACCUAGUUGAAAAGAAAUAAGGACUGUCAUUUUAUUGUUGUUGUUUUGGUUACAUUUACGGUAACACCAGCAGAAGUUCUACAGUGAGAACCUUGGGAUGGUGCUGACUGACAGAUGUUCUCCAUUGUUCUUUCAUAACUUUCAAAGGCACCCUAUUUAUUUUUAUUCCAUCCAUAAUACCUGAUUGGUUUAAUUACGUUAUUGUCAUUGACCCUGCAUUCAGACCUGCAGGUGAAGAUGACUCCUGGAACAGAGGCAGGAAGGGGAACACUGACCUGUAGCACCACCUGUACUCUGACUGACAACCCCACCUACAUCUGGUACAAGAACGGACACAAAGUAAAGGAGGACACUUCCAGCCUGUACUCAGAAUACUUUAGUGAUGUAGACUGCUACUCCUGUGCUGUAAAAGGCCAUGAGGAUCUCCACUCUCCUGCUGUGUGUGGAGUGUUCAGACCCUGUGAAGAGAAAGAGAGCUUCACUAACAGAGAAGGGUAUUCAGUUGUUUAAGCAGGGCCAGUACUCUCAGGAUGUGGACAUGUUCUCUGAGGCUAUCCACUGUUACCCCAAAGACC
rnacentral:lncRNA from 1 species